GCCUAACACAUGCAAGUCGAGCGGCAGCGGGUCCUUCGGGAUGCCGGCGAGCGGCGGACGGGUGAGGAAUACAUCGGAAUCUGCCCUGUCGUGGGGGAUAACCUAGGGAAACUUAGGCUAAUACCGCAUACGACCUACGGGUGAAAGCGGGGGAUCGCAAGACCUCGCGCGACAGGAUGAGCCGAUGUCCGAUUAGCUAGUUGGCGGGGUAAAGGCCCACCAAGGCGACGAUCGGUAGCUGGUCUGAGAGGAUGAUCAGCCACACUGGGACUGAGACACGGCCCAGACUCCUACGGGAGGCAGCA
rnacentral:rRNA from 1 species